rnacentral:rRNA from 1 species
UACGUAGGGGGCAAGCGUUGUCCGGAAUCAUUGGGCGUAAAGAGCGUGUAGGCGGCUUGGUAAGUCCGCUGUGAAAGUCCAGGGCUCAACCCUGGAAUGCCGGUGGAAACUGUCAAGCUUGAGUCCGGAAGAGGCGAGUGGAAUUCCUGGUGUAGCGGUGAAAUGCGCAGAUAUCAGGAGGAACACCAAAGGCGAAGGCAGUGUCCUGGGUGGUCGCUGACGCUGAGAGGCGAAAGCCAGGGGAGCGAACGGG